rnacentral:pre_miRNA from 1 species
GGGGGGAGGCCAGAUCCUGGGCUGUAUCCCAGGCGCCCUGUGCUCCUGGUCUGCGCUGUUGGAAUCGUGCUCCUGGCUGUGCAGCCCCCU